GAUGAAGAACGCAGCGAAAUGCGAUAAGUAAUGUGAAUUGCAGAAUUCAGUGAAUCAUCGAAUCUUUGAACGCACAUUGCGCCCGCCAGUAUUCUGGCGGGCAUGCCUGUUCGAGCGUCAUUUCAACCAUCAAGCCCCCGGCUUGUGUUGGGGACCUGCGGCUGCCGCAGGCCCUGAAAACCAGUGGCGGGCUCGCUAGUCACUCCGAGCGUAGUAAUACAUCUCGCUCAGGGCGUGCUGCGGGUUCCGGCCGUUAAAAAGCCUUAUUUACCCAAGGUUGACCUCGGAUCAGGUAGGAAGACCCGCUGAACUUAAGCAUAUCAAUAAGGGAGGA
rnacentral:misc_RNA from 1 species